rnacentral:lncRNA from 1 species
UUGGGAAAUGGACUAUCAGACCACACUUCUAUCCUGUCCAGUCGGCCUUCAUUUCAGUCUUUCCACACUGUUUUCCUGGGUUUGUACUGUGCUAGCAAGACAACUGUCUUAUACAGGCUGCAGCUCAUGAAUUUGUAAAUACUGUACCUACCAAAAGAUUUAACACGGAGAAAAUUAAGGUAAUCUUGGCAAAUUCUAAAACAGUCCCUUUUCACUUCUGGGAUGUAGGUGUUUAGGACAAAGUAAGGCCACUGUGGAAGUCAUAUGCCAGAUGCACAGAUGGCAUUGUAUUUGUUGUGGACUCUAGAUGUGGAAGGAUGGAAGAAACUAAAACUUAACUUCAUAAAAUAACUAGGAUAUAGAAAACCAAGCAGUCCCUCUACUUAUAGUUGCUAACAGCAAGACUUCAGGAACUCAUUCUCUCAGGAACUGAUACAUUGUUGGCAAGGGGUGAACUGAGCUCAUCAAGUCCUUGGCAUUUGCAGCUUACCUGUGCAAUCAUAGGAGAUGGACUAAAG